rnacentral:rRNA from 1 species
GACGAACGCUGGCGGCGUGCUUAACACAUGCAAGUCGAGCGGAAAGGCCCUUCGGGGUACUCGAGCGGCGAACGGGUGAGUAACACGUGAGUAAUCUGCCCUUGGCUUUGGGAUAACUACCGGAAACGGUGGCUAAUACCGGAUACGACAACCGUCUGCAUGGGCUGGUUGUGGAAAGUUUUUUCGGCCAGGGAUGUGCUCGCGGCCUAUCAGCUUGUUGGUGGGGUAAUGGCCUACCAAGGCUUCGACGGGUAGCCGGCCUGAGAGGGUGACCGGCCACACUGGGACUGAGACACGGCCCAGACUCCUACGGGAGGCAGCAGUGGGGAAGAUUGGACAAUGGGCGGAAGCCUGAUCCAGCAACGCCGCGUGAGGGAUGACGGCCUUCGGGUUGUAAACCUCUUUCAGUACCGACGAAGCGCCGAUGAUGGUGGUGACGGUAGGUACAGAAGAAGCACCGGCCAACUACGUG